AGCGUCAUUGCACCCCUCAAGCGUAGCUGGUAUUGGGUCUUCGCCCCUGCGGCGUGCCCGAAAAGCAUUGGCGGUCCGGUGGGACUUCAAGCGUAGUAAAUUUUCUCCCGCUUUGGAAGCUCUCCCCGUGGCCUGCCAGACAACCACCAAACUUUUCAAUGAUUGACCUCGGAUCAGGUAGGGAUACCCGCUGAACUUAA
rnacentral:misc_RNA from 1 species